CAUGCACCAGUGGGGUCCCUCGGCCUGGCCUGUGGGAUCAGGCCGAAACUGGCUCUCCAAUAUCCUCCAAGGGUUCCCAGAUUACAAGAGGGCACAGGCCAGGCCGAGGGACCCCACCGAUGCACA
rfam:Myotis brandtii contig152837, whole genome shotgun sequence.